UCCCGUUCAGGUCACGUGCUCCCGUGUUGACUGAAGAGAAGAAACAGCCUCUGCUGCAGAGAGGCUAACGGCUAACGGUGCUCUGAGGAGAAACACACCUGGGAGUUUAACACCGACACAGACACUUCACAGUAUGAGUUAGCCUGCAGAGAGCCGGUGACGUUAGCAGGGUGGUCAGGUGUGUGUUGGAUCAGCAGCAGGAUGCCCAUCCCUCCUCCGCCUCCUCCUCCACCAGGGGGACCCCCGCCUCCCCCCACAUUCAGCCAGGCCAACACCACCCCUCCGAAGCUGAGCAGGGAGGAGGCCAGAGGUCGGGGCGCUCUGCUGUCAGACAUCUGUAAAGGCACCAAGCUGAGGAAGGUGUCGGUGGUGAACGACCGCAGCGCUCCGCUGCUCGACAGUAAGACUCAAACACCAAAGAGCCAAACACCUCCCACAGAGCACCCAUACAUUCGCUUAUACCAGUACCUACAUCAGCAGCAGAGCCAGCCUAAACAGCAGGGGGCGCUGUCUGAGGAGCAGAAGACGACGGCUGGGGAAAAGAGCUCUGCUCUGUCCUUAGAGAAGCCCAAAGGAGGCGGAGCAGCAACAGGAGGAGCCAGUGGAGGCGGAGCAGCAAGCCCGCUGGGUUCUGCUCCACCAAUCGGAGGACUGUUCACAGGCGGAGUUCCCAAACUGAGGCCAGUGGGAGAUGGCUCCUCUGGACGUUCUCCCUCCACCCGAGCCGCCGCUCCCCGCCCCCCCAGUCAUCGUCAUGACGACGCAGAGAGCCCCUCCCCUCAGGCUUCAUCGCCAUUGGAGACGAGUCGCUCCCAGCGUCCUUCGCUCCCCAACCUGUCGUCCUCUCCCUCUCCCUCCUCCCCGUCCUCUGCUGCCUCUUCCCCCUCCACUGGCAUGAAGCACUCCUCCUCCGCCCCUCCUCCCCCUCCUCCCCUUUGUCGCCGUGGUAACGCCCCCUCUCCUCCCUCCUCUGCCUCCUCUUACAACAGAGAGAAGCCACUCCCUCCAACUCCUAACAACACCCCGCCCCUCCCCUCCAAACCUCCCCCAUCUCCUGGAAACAGCAGACGCCCUCCCACCUCUGGAGGUAACCCCGCCUCUUCCACACUCUCCUCCUCCUCUCUGGCCCCACCCCCUCCACCUUACCGCAUUGCCAACGGUCCAACAGGUGGCGGCGGCGAGGCAGCACCUGACCUGCCACAACGUCACAACUCCCUCAGCAACAAGAGGACCGCCCCCUCACCUGUAGGCCACACCCCCACCAGAGGCCCGGCCCCACCUCCUCCCCCUGCCUCUCCCACCCCCUCCCAGCAGGGUGCUAACAGGCCACCACCCCCUGUCAGAGAGCCACCAGGUAGAGGAGCAGCUCCUCCUGUUCCAGUCCAGUCAUCGUCCUCCAGGGCGGGGGGCAGAGAAGCCCCUCCUCCUCCUCCUUACAGGACACAUGGUAGCCCCUCCCUCUCCUCUGACCCCCCAGCCAGAGGAAAACCUCCUCCCCCGCCCACCCGCACCCCAGCUGCUCCUCCUCCUCCUCCCCCUCCUCUCCGUAACGGACACUCCUCUUCCUCCUCCAUCCCUCGCUCGUUCGUCGAUGAUUUCGAGUCCAAGUAUUCGUUUCACCCUCUGGACGAUUUCCCUCCUCCGGACGAGUACAGACACUUCACCAAGAUCUACCCCAGCAAGGCCAGCAGAGGUGCACACACUGUGAUGAGAGGAGCUCCUCCACUUCCUCCUGUCGGGAGGUGAAGCAUGAAAACCACGACACAGCUGGACCACGCACACACACACGCACACACACACACACGCGCACACACACGCGCACACACACACAUGUAUAAACACAACAUCCUCCAUCCUGUUUGAAGACAUUUGCAGCGUCCAGCUUCAUCAUCCUCAACUCCUUCAUCACUGUGUCAUCCACGCUCACAGCUGAUUGGCUGAUGGUCUGCCUGACAGAGACAGACUGACCAAUCCUGUGUCUGACAGGAAGUGUGAACGAAGAGGAGGAAGUUCAUCAGAGGAAAAAGGAUUUAAACUCUGAAGCUAGAAUCCGGCCGGAGGAGCCGCCUGCUCCUCGUCUCUGGAAUUCAUCACCCGUUAGUUUUAUUUUUCGCACCUGCACUUUUUCUUUUUUGCAAGAGCAACAAGCAGCUCGUCACCUGUCUGACCACCUGAGGAUGUGGAAGCAGAGUCUGACACGUGAACAGUUUUGGAGCUGAAAGUUGCUGCAGGGUCCUUUAGUGACAGGAUUCUUCAGGUUUUGGACGGAGGUGUAAUAAAUGAACCUGAGUCUCAGAGAGGACUGAUGUCACGUCCUGUUUCCAGGUACAGGUGGAAGGUGGAUGAAUCAGAGUGUUUACAUCACUCAUAAAGUCUGCUUACUUAGAGAAACCAGGUUACCCUGGUAACCAGGGAACGUGUUUACCUGUAGGGACGUCACAGGACCAGGAAUUUGCUCUGUGAAGGUUCUGUGUCAUGAGCUGCGUUAGCCUAAAGAAGCUAACGUUAGCCUGUGGGACGCCUGUGGGACGCUGUGUGUGGUUAGCAGCUGUCGUUUGAGGAUCUCACAGCUGAACUCUGUUCGCUCGCUGGCUUUCAUCUCGUCCAUGAUCCGUCUCACGCAGCAACUCUUCAUGCUGAUCCUGUUGUUGCUGCCGUCCCACGUGUUGUUACUGUGUCCUCCUCCUUCUCUUUGCCUUUGAUGUCAGACUAGAAGACUAUGCUGUCCCGUCAGUCCUGGAAGACUCUCACGUCCGUACCUGCAGUACCUGUGAUCAGAUCUCUGCCCUGUACCUGACGGUCCAGCUGUUGAGGUGGGCGGAGACGCUGUGCUGGUCCUGACUGGGACGUGUUCUGGGGGGACGACAGUCAGAGUGGAGUUUUCUUCACAUCGUGAGUUAUUUAGUCUUGUGUUGUUUUAAAUACGAGGACGCGUCGCUCCGUGUAAUGAUGACCUGAGGUUUCUCUGAUCCCGUACACUGAUUACAGAAACAGGUGUGUUGUUUACAUGACAGGUAAGAAUCAGCAGGUAAACACUCACAACAUAAAACAUUCACUGCAGCUUCGCCUCAUCAGGGUGAACACCUGGCUUUACCUUUAAUGCUGUGCAGUGCAAACAUCCUUUUAUUAUGGACAGUGUUUAUGCUAAGCUAGGCUAACCAGGUCCUGACUGCAGCUCCGAACAUCUCACUCAACAAAGGAAGUUACCAAAAUGUGGAACUGCUCCUUUAAUGUUCCUGAAUCAGUGCUCCAGAUAAACCAUGAACACAGACUCGCACUGAUCUCAGCCACCUGUCCUUCAACGACCUGGACCUGGACCUGGAUCUGGACCUGGACUUGGAUCUGGAUCUGGAUCUGAAGUUUGGAUGAUGUUUGUUUUACAGCAGGAUGAAAACAUCUGUAAAUACUUCAACUCACCUGCGUCAUCAUUACACACACCUGUCCUGGUGAUGUGAGCGAUGUGACGUGCUUUAUUUUGGUGGCAUGUGACCGCGUGCGACCCCAGCUCGGACAGAGAUUGGUUUCUGACAAGGUCAAGUCUUCAAGUGCCAAGACAGGCUGAAGUGACCCGGGGAAUCUCACCUGGACUCUUUCUCUCCUCCUGUAACUAAACACUAACUUUGUUGCAUGUCGUCUUUAUCUGAGUUGUGAGUCUAAGCAACACGGCGGCGACGCUUCAGGUCCCUACGAGCAGUGUCCGAUAGUUACAGGUGACACGAAGCGGACUGACGAGUCCACUUCACUGACGUUCAGGGAAAACUGGCCGAGGUUUGAAGAUAAAGUCGUGUUCAGGUACAGCAUGUUGUCAUGUCCGAACGUUCUAAUAAUCAGUAAUCAGAAUUUUCAGAUGUAAUUUUAAGGGAAAAGUUGUUUAGAGAAUAAAUUCAGUAGUUCUGCAACUAACGAUUUUUAUCAGUGUCAACUCAAACUAACCUGCUGGUCCAACGCAGUGUCUCAGAGGUCUGACUCUGUCCGUCCAACAUUCAAAGAGGCUCAGUUUAUUUUCCUGCAUGAAAAAGAAAAGCAGCAAGUGAAGAAACUGGAUCAUUGCAUGAAAGUUGAUCUCAACAGUUCUCAACGUGCUGAGAGUGAACCUGUAAUAUCAGACAUUAUUAUUAUGAACAGUCAGAAGUUUUAAUUCUACAGAGAAAAAGGUUGAAUAUGUUGGACUAUGAUGAGACUGAAAUCUUUUCUCUCGUCACAUUUUCUUUUUUCUCCGUUUAGUAAAACUUUGGCACAGUCUCCAGUUUUGUCCCGAUCACUGUCACGUUCAUGGUUUCAGAGCAGCUUCUCACACUGAUCAUCACACAUUUUUACCCACAGUUCCUCUGUGUGUCAUGUGACAGCACUUUGCUGUGUAACGUUACGGUUUCUGAGCUGAUUUCAGUGAUGAUUAGCGAUGCUUUUAUUUUGUGAUCGGAGCUGGUCUUCUUCACUGGAUCUGCAGCUCCACCUUCAUCCACCUCCACUCACCUCCGUCAGGAUGGUUUCUCAUCCUUGAAAUCAUCAAAUGCCCGAAAGGUAGAAAAAAGGAGGAAUGUUGAAAUACAGGAGUAAAACAUGAAUAAUUCCAAAGUGUAAGAAUUUUAAAAAGAAUUGAAAUCAACUGAAGAAAAUUCAGACUCAGCUAAAACACUUGUUUUUCGACGAAGCUUUGCUGAAAUCAUUUUAACUGAGUCUCAGUUUAAAUGAUCUCAUCAGGAUUUUCUCACAAAGCCACAGCUUCACUGUGUUAUUGUAUAACAUCUGACACCAGGAUGCACUGGGAUGUGACAGACAUCCUCUCACCUCAGCCGCUCCACCACUGCUCCGCCUUACAAACUGCUGUAAAUCUGAUUCUUCAGUUAGAAAAUGUAAAAAGCUUCUAAACAAACAAACCUGUGAGUAACUGACUGACAGACGGUCUGCAGCGGUGCGAACUGUACAUCACCGUCGGUGUCAGACUGUCCUGUAGCUUUAGAUGUGAACUGGGACUGGUGGUGUGUUUGAGUCCCAGUUUAACAGCAUGCUCGCUCUCACUGUCCGACCUCUGAAAUAAACCUUCCAUCAUUUACCCGUUCUGUUUCCUCUUUCUGUCUUUAAGUCGAAUUAAACCUGCAC